rnacentral:rRNA from 1 species
UACGUAGGGUGCGAGCGUUGUCCGGAAUUAUUGGGCGUAAAGGGCUCGUAGGCGGUUUGUCGCGUCGGGAGUGAAAACUCAGGGCUUAACCCUGAGCCUGCUUCCGAUACGGGCAGACUAGAGGUAUGCAGGGGAGAACGGAAUUCCUGGUGUAGCGGUGAAAUGCGCAGAUAUCAGGAGGAACACCGGUGGCGAAGGCGGUUCUCUGGGCAUGAUCUGACGCUGAGGAGCGAAAGUGUGGGGAGCGAAACAGG